GAUGAACGCUGGCGGCGCGCCUAAUACAUGCAAGUCGAGCGAACAGACGAGGAGCUUGCUCCUCUGACGUUAGCGGCGGACGGGUGAGUAACACGUGGAUAACCUACCUAUCAGACUGGGAUAACUUCGGGAAACCGGAGCUAAUACCGGAUAAUAUAUUGAACCGCAUGGUUCAAUAGUGAAAGACGGUUUUGCUGUCACUUAUCGAUGGAUCCGCGCCGCAUUAGCUAGUUGGUAAGGUAACGGCUUACCAAGGCAACGAUGCGUAGCCGACCUGAGAGGGGGAUCGGCGACAUUGGAGCUGAGACACGGUCCAGACUCCUACGAGAGGCAGCAGUAGGGAAUCUUCCGCAAUGGGCGAAAGCCUGACGGAGCAACGCCGCGUGAGUGAUGAAGGUCUUCGGAUCGUAAAACUCUGUUAUUAGGGAAGAACAAAUGUGUAAGUAACUAUGCACGUCUUGACGGUACCUAAUCAGAAAGCCACGGCUAACUACGUG
rnacentral:rRNA from 1 species